rfam:Oryza rufipogon genomic scaffold, chr03
AAUAAGUUUAUUUGUGGGUUUUUUUCUUAACAUUUGACCGUCUGUCUUAUUUUAAAUUUUUUAUGAUUAGUAUUUUUGUUGUUAUUAGAUUAUAAAGCAUGAAUAUUACUUUAUACGCGACUUAUUUUUGUUAGAUUUUUCAUUAAUUUUUCAAAUAAGACAGACGGUCAAACAUUGUAUACAGAAACCCAAUGUAAAAAUGAAC